rnacentral:tRNA from 1 species
GGUAAAAUGGCUGAGUGAAGCAUUAGACUGUAAAUCUGACAGAUGUUUGACUCCUCUUUUUACCA